rnacentral:rRNA from 1 species
GACGAACGCUGGCGGCGUGCUUAACACAUGCAAGUCGAACGGAAAGGCCCUGCUUUUGUGGGGUGCUCGAGUGGCGAACGGGUGAGUAACACGUGAGUAACCUGCCCUUGACUUUGGGAUAACUUCAGGAAACUGGGGCUAAUACCGGAUAGGAGCUCCUGCUGCAUGUUGGGGGUUGGAAAGUUUCGGCGGUUGGGGAUGGACUCGCGGCUUAUCAGCUUGUUGGUGGGGUAGUGGCUUACCAAGGCUUUGACGGGUAGCCGGCCUGAGAGGGUGACCGGCCACAUUGGGACUGAGAUACGGCCCAGACUCCUACGGGAGGCAGCAGUGGGGAAUAUUGCACAAUGGGCGGAAGCCUGAGGCAGCAACGCCGCGUGCGGGAUGACGGCCUUCGGGUUGUAAACCGCUUUCGCCUGUGACGAAGCGUGAGUGACGGUAAUGGGUAAAGAAGCACCGGCUAACUACGUG